GUAAUAAAUGAUGGCGUCCUGCACCCCAGCAGAGCUGAGCAACCUCCUGUCAAAGGCCAUGAACCAGACGACUAUAGUUGUUUCAGUGAGAUUGUCCUUGAAAGGCCUUUAGGCUAAAUAAUCAGCUAAAUGAGGUCUGUUUUGAGUUAUGUUUGCCAGUGAACAGACACCAUACUGUUCCACUCAAAGAUGAGAUGUAAUCUCUAGCGUUUGGUGCUGAGAUUCUUCAGGACAAGACCUUGAUGCCAUUCACACUCACUACAUGUAGACGAUUCACCAAACAUCUGGCUGAUUACUGGCAAUUUGCAUUAAAGACAGUGGAGAAGUGAAGAGAGUGGAGGGGAGGGCAUCAGAAAGGACCUUGAGCUGCGACUGUCUUGGAUCACCCAAAGCACAACUACACUAUGUGUCCAAGCACUGAACAAGGCUUUUCUCCUUUACAUAUUAAAUGAAUUUAAUUUAAGGCAGGGUUUUAUUUUUUCCUGCUUAGUGAACUACUAGGUGGCUUCCUCUGUCAAAUUUGAUGCUGUCUCCAGCUAUUAACAAAACUCAGACAGGCAGUCACAUGCUCCGAUUCCCCUUUUCCACCAACACAGUUCUGUUGCAGGAUCCUUCCUGUGUCCAUUCUCAAACUGUUCCACGCACCUCCACUGCACAAAAGGAAGUUCCAGGGCAGAAAUAUUGGUACACUCCCUCUUCGACAUCCUUCGCCAGUCAUCACAUUCACAACCACCACAGUCAACACAAGCUAAGGUCCCUGGUCCACAGCAUUAACCAUCUUUGUAGGAAGAUCAAUACUGCAUUUCUUGAUUUAUCUUUAAAAUUAACAGUUUUCUUAUGGAGUGCAAUCCCUCUCUGGACGGACUGAGGUCUCUCGGUCUUACAAAAUACUGUCAGACACUGCAUAUGAUGUUCUCAAAA